AACGUAGGAGACAAACGUUAUCCGGAGUUACUGGGCGUAAGGGCGUGCAGGUGGUCUGUUAAGUCUGGCGUGAAAGCUCUCGGCUAAACCGGGAGAGGUCGUUGGAUACUGGCGGACUAGAGGACGGUAGAGGCGUGUGGAAUUCCGGGUGUAGUGGUGAAAUGCGUAGAGAUCCGGAGGAACACCAGUGGCGAAGGCGACACGCUGGGCCGUACCUGACACUAAAACGCGACAGCAUGGGGAGCGAACGGG
rnacentral:rRNA from 1 species